CCUACGGGUGGCAGCAGUGAGGAAUAUUGGUCAAUGGGCGCGAGCCUGAACCAGCCAAGUCGCGUGAGGGAUGACGGCCCUACGGGUUGUAAACCUCUUUUGCCGGGGAGCAACGGGCGUCCCGUGUGGCGCCACUGAGAGUACCCGGAGAAAAAGACUCGGCUAACUACGUGCCAGCCGCCGCGGUCAUACGGAGGAUGCGAGCGUUAUCCGGAUUUAUUGGGUUUACAGGGUGCGUAGGCGGAUCGUUAAGUCAGUGGUCAAAUUGAGGGGGUCAACCCAUUCCCGCCAUUGAAACUGGCGCUCUUGAGUGGAAGAGAAGUAUGCGGAAGGCGUGGUGGAGCGGUGAAAUGCAGAGAUAUCACGCAGAACCCCGAUUGCGAAGGCAGCAUGCCGGCUUCCGACUGACGCUGAAGCACGAAAGCGUGGGGAUCGAACAGGAUUAGAUACCCGAGUAGUC
rnacentral:rRNA from 1 species